rnacentral:rRNA from 1 species
UACGGAGGUGGCAAGCGUUGCUCGGAAUCACUGGGCGUAAAGGGCGCGUAGGCGGGGGAGGUAAGUCGGGUGUGAAAUCCCUCGGCCCAACCGAGGAACUGCGCCCGAGACUGCUUCUCUUGAGUCCCGGAGAGGAAGGUGGAAUUCCCGGUGUAGCGGUGAAAUGUGUAGAGAUCGGGAGGAACACCGGUGGCGAAGGCGGCCUUCUGGACGGUGACUGACGCUGAGGCGCGAAAGCGUGGGGAGCAAACGGG